GUAAUUUCACCCGCAUGGAUUAUUAUUCACCAAUUAAAAGGUGAUGUGGCAAGUAGAGUCCACCUCCACAUAUAAAUAUAUAAUUAAAUAUUCUAAUAAUUUAUAACUAAUUAAAAUUAAAAUAAAACAUUAAAAAAUUUAUAACUGAAAAAAAUCUCUCUCUCUUUCCAACCCACUCCUAGCAGCCAUAACUGUCCCUCCUCAAGCCACCUUUUCCGUGCCCAAACAACCACCAACCCAGAUAGUGGGUAAAAUUGCUCCCAUUUUCUAACUAAUAUUCCAAUCACUCCCAUCAACUAAAUUUCUUACCCACAAACCAAACCUCUCUCUCUGCCUCUGCCUCUGCCUCUCCUUUGCCUCCUACACCAUGGUUGUAAUCUGAGUCGUAUCACCACCAAACCCUAAAAUUCCUUCAUUUUUCCCAACCACAACCUCCAACAACAGCCACAACCACUUAGCCUUUGCAUGGCCGUUUCAAUAUCAAAUGCUCGAUGGAUUACAAUAGAGACUAGUACAACAAUAAUGGCAGCAGCAACAUUCAAGUGCCCGUAGCAUACCCUAGAUCGGCUGAGGUUCAGUGGAAGAAGAAGCUGUGCAAUACGGUGCACAUCAUCGACGUCGUCGGUCUUCCCAUUGAAAUUAAGCACCUUCCCUCUGGAAAGGUCGUCGCUUGGACCCGCCUCACCGUUAAGAAAUCAGCUUCCGACACCCCAUGGAUCAGUUUGACAUUUUGGGAUGAGAUGGUGCAUUGCUUUCUAGCAUGUAGAGAAAGGCAAUCAAAUAUAUGUCAUUGGUCAUCCGAUUACAAAUUAUGUUGAAAACACGAGCAUUUCGAUUCUGGCUUCGGUGAUGACGACCACCAUGACCAGGUUUUGAAAUAGGUCAGCGUAUGUGACCCGAUUAAGCCAUUGGAUUUCCCCGAAGUUGUGAAGCCUUCGAUGAUAUUGAUGGGGAUGUGGAGCUGUUUGAAGAGAGAGGGGAAGAGAGAGAAAGGAAGAGAGAUAGAGGGAGAGAGAAAUUAAAACCCUUUUUAAAUAUUUUGUUUUUAUUAGUUUUAAUAAUUACAAUAUUUAAUUAUAUCUUUAUCUAUGUGGAAGUGGGCUCCACUUGCCUCGUCACCCUUCAAUGAGUGGUUAAUGAUUUAUAUGUAAGAAAUU